AACGAACGCUGGCGGCGUGCCUAACACAUGCAAGUCGUGCGAGAAAGUUCCUUCGGGAGCGAGUAAAGCGGCGCACGGGUGAGUAACACGUAGGUAACCUGCCCCCCAGUCUGGAACAACUAGAGGAAACUCUAGCUAAUGCCGGAUGAGACCUACGAUCCCUUCGGGGGUUGCGGCCAAAAGAUGGCCUCUACUUGUAAGCUAUCGCUGAGGGAUGGGCCUGCGGGCCAUUAGCUUGUUGGUGAGGUAACGGACUCACCAAGGCUGUGAUGGCUAGCUGGUCUGAGAGGAUGACCAGCCACACUGGGACUGAGACACGGCCCAGACUCCUACGGGAGGCAGCAGUGGGGAAUAUUGCGCAAUGGGCGAAAGCCUGACGCAGCAACGCCGCGUGGGUGAUGAAGGCCU
rnacentral:rRNA from 1 species